UCUGGGGAAAUUGCCUCACAGCCCAUGGGUCUGUGCAAGGGUGUAAUCCUGGAUGCCGAUGACAUAGAGCAGCUGUUUGCAUGGAUCCCGCCCACUAUGUUGGUGCAAGCAUAAUGUGGAAGCGCGAGGGACUUAACAGCCCCUGGACAACUGCUGAGGAUUAGAAGACAUGAGGCCAUGGAGAGAUGACGUCCUUUCAGUGUCAGAGAAAACAGGUUCUAAUGGUGGGAUUCUGAAGACAGCUUGCUCACUGACCAGAAGAAAACAAGAACCCCUUCACUGGUGGACUGAAGGUCUGAAUUGACCUACAAGAUCUGCUUCCCAGAGCAAGAAAAUAUUCUCCAGCAGACAGCCAUGGAAUUCAUCUGAACAUCAGCUCUCCUGGCUCUCCAUCUGCUUUCCUUCAGACUGGAACUGCACCAUCGGUUUCCCUAGGUCUCAAGCCUGCUGGCCCACACUGUAGAUUUGGACUUUAAAGUCUCCACAAGCACUUGAACCAAUUCAGUAUAAUUCUCUUUUUGUAUAAGUGAUUCUGUUUCUCUGGAGAAUCCAACUAAUAGAAGGAUAGUAGAGUCCCACAAACUUAACCAAGAGAUUUGUCAAUUGUAUUGGUGCAGACUCUAUUUAAGGAGUUCCAGGGACACUCAAGGACAACAGAGAAGACCAAAAGUAGGGCACUAGAGUAAUUUGAAUCCUCUGACACUCACAGACAUAGAAAACAUUAAACACAGACCAGCUUCUAGCCAGACUAACAGAAAACCUCACACUAAAGGCCUAUUUCCUUCAGUCUCUAAUAUCUGAUACAUCACAUCUCGCUUAAAAAAAAUUACAAGGCAUGCUAAGAGGCAAACAAACAAAACAACACAGACUGAAAAGAUGAUGCAAGCAUCAGGACCAGACUCAGAUAUGACACAGACAUUCGAAUUAUCAGACAGGGAAUUUAAAAUAACUGUGGUUAAUAUAUAAGGGCUCUGAUGGUAAAAGUGGACAGAGUGAAAGAACAAAUAGAUAAAGUAAGUAGAUAAAUGGAAACUCUCAGAAUGAAUCAAAAGGAAAUACCAGACAUCAAAAACACUUUGACAGAAAUGAAGCUGAUCAGUAUACUGAACAAGCUGAGGAAAGAAUCAGUGACCAUGUCAAUAGAAACUUCCCAACUGAAAUGCAAAAAACAAACAAACAAAAACCCCUAACAGAAUAUCCAAGAAAUGUGGGAUAAUUUCAAAAGGUGUAACACACGUACAACCAGAAUACCAGAGGAGAUGAAAGACAAAAUGGAGCAGAAGAAAUAUUUGAAGUAUUAAGUCAAAGAGUUUCCAAAAUGAGUGUUAGACAUUAAACCACAUUCUCAGUGAAGAUCCAGAAUACUCUGAGAAGAACAAGUAUGAUAAAUACCCAAAAAUCUACACCUAGGCUUGUUCUACUCAACUGCAGAAAACAAAAAAUAAAACCUUGAAGAAAGAAAAUGAAGAAUCUCAUCUAUAGGGAACAAGGAUAAGAAUCACAUCAGACUUUUCGCCAGGAACCCCAUGAGCAAGAAGAGGGUAAGUGAAAUAUUUAAAGUGUUAAAAGGAGAAAAUCUCGAAUUCUAUAUCUAGUGAUAUUAUCCUUACUAACUGAAAGUGAAAUAAAGAUUUUCCUCAAACAAAGUUCUGGAAAUUUAUUGCCAGCAACCCUGGUCUGUAAGAAAUGUUAAAAGAAGAAAGAAUGUUAAAAUAAGAAGGAAGGAUCCAGCCCGGUGGUACAGAGGUUAAGUUCACAAGUUCUGCUUCUCAGCGGCCUGAGGUUUGCCAGUUUGGAUCCUGGGUGCGGACACGGCACCACUUGGCAAAAGCCAUGUUGUGGUAGGCAUCCUACGUAUAAAGUAGAGAAAGAUGGGCAUGGAUGUUAGCUCAGGGUCAGUUUUCCUCAGCAAAAAGAAGAGGAUUGCCAGUAGUUAGCUCAGGGCUUAAUCUUCCUAAAAAAAAAUAAGAGGGAAAAUAAUAUAGGACAGAAACUCAGACCUAAGUUAAGAAAGAAAGAGCAUCAAAAAAGGAAUAAAUGAAGGUGAAAUAAAAUGUUUAUUUUUCUUAUUCUUAGUUGAUCUAAUAGAUAACUGUUCAAAGUAAGAAUAGUAACAAUGUAUUGGGUGAUUAACACAUAGAGAUGAGUGAUAUGAAUGACAGAAAUAUUAUAAGGGAUAGGAGAGAAGAAUUGAAAAUACUAUGUUAUAAACUAUCUACACUACCUGUGAACAGUAUAUUGUUAUUUGAAAGUGG
ensembl:lncRNA